CCUACGGGUGGCUGCAGUGGGGAAUAUUGGACAAUGGGCGAAAGCCUGAUCCAGCCAUGCCGCGUGUGUGAAGAAGGCCUUCGGGUUGUAAAGCACUUUCAGUGGGGAAGAAAGCCUUGGGGCUAAUACCCUCGAGGAAGGACAUCACCCACAGAAGAAGCACCGGCUAACUCCGUGCCAGCAGCCGCGGUAAUACGGAGGGUGCGAGCGUUAAUCGGAAUUACUGGGCGUAAAGCGCGCGUAGGCGGUCUGAUAAGCCGGUUGUGAAAGCCCCGGGCUCAACCUGGGAACGGCAUCCGGAACUGUCAGGCUAGAGUGCAGGAGAGGAAGGUAGAAUUCCCGGUGUAGCGGUGAAAUGCGUAGAGAUCGGGAGGAAUACCAGUGGCGAAGGCGGCCUUCUGGACUGACACUGACGCUGAGGUGCGAAAGCGUGGGUAGCAAACAGGAUUAGUACCCUAGUAGUC
rnacentral:rRNA from 1 species